UGGGAUAACCAACCACCUGGACAGAUGU
rnacentral:piRNA from 1 species